UUUCUUUACAAGAACUCAGGACGCCAUAUCGACGGUCUUGCAUAUGAUAUACAUAGUGCAUUUAAUUGUUGGAUAACAAUGUUUUUGGAUUAUAAAAAAGGGUUCUCUCUCUUGUUUUAAGAAAGAAAAUUUCUCCCAAAGUUUUUCAACCCCGAUUUUCUUCGCUCGAUUUAGCCGAGAAGUCAUAGUGGCCUUCCUCUGCCCAGUAGAGUUCACUGUUUUGUUAUCCGAACGGGUGAGGAGGUUAGCUCUCCCUCCUCUCUGAGAUCGGCACAUAUAUGGUUGGUAGGUUGUUUUGCGCAGGUGGGGAGAAAGGAGAGAGCAACUAUAGGACUUGCUUUUGAUAAGGUUGAAAGGUGGUGCUGCUAUCAUGGGGAAAGGGGGGGUUCACUGAGGAGCCUGCCAACGAGAGACGCAAAUGGCCUUGGUCCGAUGCAAUGUAAGCCUCUGUCUUCCUAGCAUAUGCUGCAAUUUGACUAAAUCUAGUGGCCUGUAUCAAGCAGUGGUUGAGGUUUCUCUAGUUCUAUGGUAUGUGCCAAUUGUUUAUUUUGCUAUGUUUGAGUUUCUUCGUUGUUGCUUUGCUCCAGCUAGAAUCUGUUUACCUAAGGAUGACUAGCAUUGUGUUAUGCUGGUGGAAAGAGUCCUAGUGGGAAAUCCAACAGAGAUCUUGUGAUGGUUGUGGAGUUUUGGUUGAUUGUGUGUCUCCAUCUUUUGCUGAAACUUUCUUGAAUCCUGUGCGCAUAUGAUUUUUUGGUGGUUUUAUUGUUGUGGGUUGGGUCUCUCUCUGAAUUAGGAUUCCUAUUGGAGCUGGGUUUAAACCUUGUUUUAUUGUAAACAUUUCAUGUGAACUGCCCAUUUUGGGCCUUGUUUGAUGCAAUACCAAAAUUGCAUGUUACACAACAACUUGGAUUUGUUGUAGCCAUUUCGUGUGAACUGCCCAUUUUGGGCCGUGUUUAAUGCAAUACCAUAAUUGCAUGUUGUACAGCAACUUGGAUUUAAAACUAGAGUGAAG
rnacentral:misc_RNA from 1 species